CAUUGUGGGAUGUGCGAUAUCAGGCUGCAGGGGAAGGCAGGCAGCAGGAGCUCGGAGAGAAUCUGGAUUUGUUACAACCGUCCAUCUGUGAUGGGGGAAAAAGGAUGUGGGAAAAGCCUCGCUUAGUUUAACAGGGCCGUAUUUCCAUGCAUAUCACACACAAUUGUCUCAGCACCCAGCAUGGAGCCCUCCCUCAAGCAAAGCCACCUUGAAGUCAAUGCAUCAUGUGUUCAGGAUGCAGCCCAGUUAGAUCCGUCAGCCUGGUCAGAGAUCCACACUGCACAGCCACAGCACCCGGCCUGAGCUACAAUCACAGAUCCGUUUGCUGUCUGCAUUCCCAGAAGAAAGAAUAAAGUUAAAACAUCUGUUAAUUUAUAAACCAA